rnacentral:rRNA from 1 species
UACGUAGGGGGCAAGCGUUGUCCGGAAUCAUUGGGCGUAAAGAGCGUGUAGGCGGUCCGUUAAGUCGGCUGUGAAAGUCCAAGGCUCAACCUUGGGAUGCCGGUCGAUACUGCCGGACUAGAGUUCGGAAGAGGCGAGUGGAAUUCCCGGUGUAGCGGUGAAAUGCGCAGAUAUCGGGAGGAACACCUAUGGCGAAGGCAGCUCGCUGGGACGUGACUGACGCUGAGGAGCGAAAGCGUGGGGAGCGAACAGG